rnacentral:rRNA from 1 species
UGAGUAACCUGCCCUCCACUCUGGGAUAAGCCCGGGAAACUGGGUCUAAUACCGGAUAUGACCUCCUGUCUCAUGGCGGGUGGUGGAAAGUUUUUUCGGUGGGGGAUGGACUCGCGGCCUAUCAGCUUGUUGGUGAGGUAAUGGCUUACCAAGGCGACGACGGGUAGCCGGCCUGAGAGGGCGACCGGCCACACUGGGACUGAGACACGGCCCAGACCUCCGUACGGGAGCAG